rnacentral:rRNA from 1 species
CCUACGGGAGGCAGCAGAGGGGAAUAUUGGACAAUGGGCGAAAGCCUGAUCCAGCCAUGCCGCGUGUGUGAAGAAGGCCUUCGGGUUGUAAAGCACUUUCAGUGGGGAAGAAAGCCUUGGGGCUAAUACCCUCGAGGAAGGACAUCACCCACAGAAGAAGCACCGGCUAACUCCGUGCCAGCAGCCGCGGUAAUACGGAGGGUGCGAGCGUUAAUCGGAAUUACUGGGCGUAAAGCGCGCGUAGGCGGUCUGAUAAGCCGGUUGUGAAAGCCCCGGGCUCAACCUGGGAACGGCAUCCGGAACUGUCAGGCUAGAGUGCAGGAGAGGAAGGUAGAAUUCCCGGUGUAGCGGUGAAAUGCGUAGAGAUCGGGAGGAAUACCAGUGGCGAAGGCGGCCUUCUGGACUGACACUGACGCUGAGGUGCGAAAGCGUGGGUAGCAAACAGGAUUAGAUACCCCGGUAGUC